UACGAAGGGGGCGAGCGUUGUUCGGAUUUAUUGGGCGUAAAGGGCGCGCAAGCGGCGAGUUUUGUCAGGCGUGAAAGCCCCGGGCUCAACCUAGGAACUGCGCUUGGAACGGGCUUGCUAGAGAUCGGGAGAGGAGAGUGGAAUUCCCAGUGUAGAGGUGAAAUUCGUAGAUAUUGGGAAGAACACCAGUGGCGAAGGCGGCUCUCUGGACCGACACUGACGCUGAGGCGCGAAAGCGUGGGGAGCAAACAGG
rnacentral:rRNA from 1 species